GCCUCCCACUUCCGUAGCAACGCGCCCUUAGCAACCGCCCUGGGUCGGGCGCCCCGCCAACCGGGCGAGAAAUCCCCCGCCUACUGGUCCGAGAGGAGGCCGCGUCGGGCGAGGAUUGGCCGGGCUGCGGUGUCAGUUAUUCCGCGGAGUGUCCGCCCCUCGGGGGAAGAAGAGAUCAUGACAUCUGUCAAAGAGCAGGAGGCCAUCAGGAAGCUCAUGGUUUUCCUGCAAGAAUGGGACGAUGCUCACAAAGUUGCUCGAAGCCACAUCCUGGACAACUUCAUUAGAAGCAAUAAUGGCAAGACAGAACCAGAGCUGGAGCUGGAGUUCUCCCAGGGAGCCAGCUUGUUUCUGGCCCGCCUGGCAGCAUGGCUGAGGAUGACCUACAUGUACAGCACGUGCAUCAACAAGCUGCUCAAGUCCAUUGGCAUCUUCUUAUCUGCUGCAAGUGGACGCAGAUACAUUAUUGAAUUUCUGGAGAUCGGAGGUGUCUUGAUGCUCCUGGAAAUAGUAGGGCUGAACCACCUGAAAGAAGAGGACAAAAGGGAGUCUGUAAAGCUGCUUCAGCUCAUCGCAAACGCUGGCAGGAAGUACAAGGAGCUCAUUUGUGAAAGCUACGGUGUGCAAUCCCUCGCCGAGCUGCUGGCCACCUGCAGCUCACCAGAGGCUCAGGAGGAGGUGCAGAUCCUGCUGGACUCUCUGGGCCACGGCAACCCCAAGUACCAGAACCAAGUGUACAGCGGCCUGGUGGCAGUGCUGCCGUGCGGCUCUCCCCGCGCCCAGCAGCUGGCCCUGCAGACACUGCGCGGCAUGCAGGACCUGCUGGGAGAGGCCCCUCCGGUGGUAGUGGCACCGCUGCUGGCGGCGCUGGGCUCGGCACACCCCGAAGUGCAGUACGAAGCCACCCGGCUGCUGCAGGUCCUCGUGGCUCGCCGUGCCCGGCCUGCUCUGCUCUCCGGCCUGGUGGCUCUGCUGUCCCCUCCCGGGAGGAAAUCGCGUGCUAAAGACUCAGUGCUGCACCCGAAGGAGCCGACACUAGCCUAUGUUCAGCAGGCAGCUGCUGCUAAAGCUAUCGGCGUAUUAGCCAAGGAGUCAGCAGAAGUGGCUGAAGAGCUGAUCCAGCUGAAAGUGGUGCAUGGCCUGAUGGUUGCGGUGGGGAACCUGGAUUAUGCACUCAGCCAGAGGAAUGCCAGCAUCUCCCUGGAGUACUUUGUCCGCACGUAUCCCUUUGUGGAGGAGCACGUAAGGAAGGCAGUAGGACACACGCUGUUCCAGCUCUUUAAGGACUGCCCUGAGACAUGGUACACAAAAAUAGAUCCAGCCCAGGCUGAAGAACUGGCCUCCAAUCUAGUGGACAGCCCCAAAGACACAGCAAAGAUGCAAUCUGCAGAAGAAACAGAGGGAUCCACCCCCAUCUCAUUUUCCUGGAGGUUGUGCUGACAUUCUGUGAUGACAGACAUCCUAGAGCGGCCACGCACGGCUUUGGAAACAGAAAUUCAAGUUCACAAGACCUACGGAGAGUUCUCCACAUAGGAAAAAGAUAAACAUGCUCUAGUACAGAACAACUUUUGAUGUAUUGAGUUUCUUGGACUACUCCUCUCUCUCAGGUACAAGCGGAUUUGUACUGUUGAUUUCCAAUACUAGUUUCCCUUCUCUUGCAUCAUAUACAACAAGAAGGCCAGCCAAACGCAGCCAUUCACAGUUCAUAUAAAAGCAAAAGUUCUGGCCAGCUAUGACAUUAAGAAAAUUACUAAAUCUGCAGUCAAUCAACAUCAGCAUCACUCAACUAUAUUAUAAAUAAACCUGUAAUGCUGUCACUUGCAACUCAAAAACAAGAACCAAUUAAAAAGGUAGAAAACACAUCAAUUUCCUAACUCCCAGCAGCUCAAGAAACUGUUCCUUAGGAGCCCUGCACUUCUACUUUUUCCUCUUCUGUCUUUGCUCAGAACAUUGUACAGACAAAAUCACUGAGCUAUGACACAGCAGCUAGCAUUCUGGCUGACUCGUCUGAAAUGCCUCCAGGAACAGAGUUCUAGUUACUGCCCAUGGGGACCGUUUGAAGAGGAGAUAGCCACUUGAUGCUGCUAUUUCUUUCUUGCCCUUUCCAUUGUCAUUUUGACACCUUUUUGGCAUAAUAACUGUCACUCAGCUUUUGCUGUUUGCAGCAUUUGGGAAGCUACAUCCAAAUCUUCGAGCCUCGCAGCAGCAGGAACUUUCUAGCAACAUUUAAAGCAAUAUCAAAGAAUAACUACAACAGUGCUGCAGAAAAGGGCAACAUAUAAAAAAAUCCCAGCUCUCAGGAACAGGAGAGCAAUUGGUUGGCAGAGGUUCUGCACUCAGGAGUCUGAAGUGUUGGUAUGAACUGGUGUGCUCUUUUUAGCAUUGCCCGAACGAGCAGCCUUAUGCUGCACUAAACUGGAAUAUUAUGGCCAGAAUGGAAGACCACUGUUUCCCAGGAAUAUAGCAGAACAUGUUUUCUCACC